CCUACGGGGGGCAGCAGUGAGGAAUAUUGGUCAAUGGGCGCAAGUCUGAACCAGCCAAGUCGCGUGAGGGAAGACGGCCCUACGGGUUGUAAACCUCUUUUGCCGGGGAGCAAGCCUGAGCACGUGUGCCCAGGCGGAGAGUACCCGGAGAAAAAGCAUCGGCUAACUCCGUGCCAGCAGCCGCGGUAAUACGGAGGAUGCGAGCGUUGUCCGGAUUUAUUGGGUUUAAAGGGUGCGCAGGCGGGCUGUUAAGCCGGCGGUAAAAAUUCAGGGCUCAACCCUGUCGAGCCGUCGGAACUGGCAGCCUUGAGUGGGCGAGAAGUGUGCGGAAUGCGUGGUGUAGCGGUGAAAUGCAUAGAUAUCACGCAGAACGCCGAUUGCGAAGGCAGCAUACCGGCGCCCGACUGACGCUGAGGCACGAAAGCGUGGGGAUCGAACAGGAUUAGAUACCCGGGUAGUC
rnacentral:rRNA from 1 species